CAUAUCUUUCUGGCAUGCACAUCUCUGGCAGCGGGGCUGGGGGGCUUCAAUGCUUGUAGGAGCCAAUAUCCAGACAAUUCUUGCACCCCCUGAGCUGCUGCAUCCCUCGUUUUCUUUGUGUUUUAACUCACAGCAUUUCCUGGCCUUGACAUUGACAGAGACUUGUGAGUCUUUGGUCAGCCCCUCCUUCCAAAAGAUCAUCUGGUGGCAGAUGGCCCAAGGCAAAGGGAGGCUCAAGGGGAAGCGUACCAGCAUAGUCUUCACCUGAGGACCCCAAGGAACACCACGGCAUCCACAAAAUUUCUGUCAGAGGUGGACCUACUUUGGAACAAGCAUCUCCUGCUUGCUACAGGAACUUGCAUUUCUUUGUUUCAUAUUCCUCAAGCAAAAAGAAAAAUACAUCUUCAGCUGACUAAGAUGCCAGAGCAGCGCUGCUCUUUGCCUGGGGCAGACAGAGAGGAGCAGCCCAGUCUGAAGCUCUGAUCUAUGGGUCCUGCCCGGCUGCAGGCACCACCUCCAGGGCUGCUUCUGCACCCGGAUAAGCACUGGGGAGGAAACAAAAGGGGAGCAUGACAGCCUCAUUCACUUGCUAAUAGGCUACUGGAAGAAAGACAUCAAAUCUACAAUUACCAUGCAAGGACACAGUCCAGCUUGCUAAGAACAGAGGAAAAGCAAGAAUGGCAAAGGAGGAGAGGAAAUGGAUUAGGUUUUCCACAAGCACCCCGAAAUCCACGCUUCCUACUCAACAGGAGCCCCGGGAGGUUGAGCAGGGCUGUGACACCAAACUGUUGAACACGAAUCAAGCACUUUUUUUUGGCUCUGGUUAGAAAAAUCCUUUCUUGCAGAGCUGCCAUAGUUCAUGUGCUUAGAGCAACAGUGUACAAAGAGAAGGGUUGGGGUUUUUUGGGAAGGAAGGUGGAAAAAAAAAAGAGCACAAACCCUGCACUGGGAAAGCCACACCGAUGAGCUUGUUAACAUUUGAAGAGACUGCUUGGCAUGAUUCCUUACGCAGAUUCCUGCCAAGAAUUUGCAAGAGGAAAGUAUAUUUAGCAAUCCAAGGCAUGCCAAAGCCUUGACAAGAGAGAAAAAAAAAAAAAAAAAAACCUUUUUGAAUAUGUGGAAUAGCAAUUAGACAUUUUCUAAGCAGCCAUUUUCAAAAUGCAUCCAGGCAUCUAAUAAGGGCACCUGAGGCAUAUCCACAACUCUGCCACACUCCGUGGCUCAAAAGACAUCCGCUGAGAUCAAAUACUCGGAGGAAGGAUGUGUUACCGAUGGCAACUGCCCACUUCCAGAGCACUGGGGCCAGUUUCAAGCAGGCACCUCAAGCCGUUGGAAAUACACAAUCUCAUGCCACCGCAAAUCAUUUUGUAGCAUCCUUUAAGGAACCAUUUCUCCAAGGAAAUGGGAGCCCUGCUGCAUAGCUGGGUAGCAGAGAGAUGUCACCCACCCACUUCCAUAGGAGCUGGGCCAGCUCUGUGAUGCAAUUUUUCCCCAAGUGGAGCUGCUGAAAAUCCAGGUAGGAUGAGCAGCAGGUGGAAGCAAGGAUAAUACAUAAAAUCAGAUGGUGACUUGCAGCCCAUUAAAGUGGUGCUCACGUCAUUCUCUAAAUCUGUCUGCUUCUCUUGUUGUCCAGCAUUCUGAGCUGCAUGCAAAGCCAGCAAUAUACUUCAUCACUAAAUUUCCUUUCUUUCUAGGGAGAAACCUAGAAGUUAGUCCCAAGACAGGGUUAGUCUGCACCAGGAAGGUGACUCACCUGCAUCAGUCACUCUUGUUUCUGAAGUGCCAUUGAAAUCUCCUUGGGAUGCAGCAUGGAGGAAGGAGCUUAGGAAGGCCAUGAGCAACCCCUGGUUGUACUCAAGGAGGAAAGCAGCUGACCAUACAAGAACAAAGCAUUUGAUGCUCAUGAAAGUUAGAAAUCACACUGGAAUAUGCUCCUUAAAACAUGAUGCCCAUGGUUUAUAACUGCCAGACUGUGUUACAGUCAAAUUCCUAAGACACCAAGCCAAAAGGGAGCACCUGCACACAGGCUGAGUUCACUCCACCCUUAAGUCAGGACAUGCAGAAAGAGCAACCAACCCCUGUGGCUGAGGCUUCUCAUUCCUGUAAGCCCUAAACCCCCAGUCUUUAAUAUGGGGCAUAACAGCAGUGGUGCCCCCAAGACUUAGCAUUGUGAUCCUGGACAGACCAAAGAGAGUGUUGGUGACCAAGAGGGGGCAGGAAGCACAAAGGGGGUAAAGCCAAAGCAAUUGUUUUGUUUUGGAAACAAAGAAAUACUUAACAGAAAUCAGAAUGAGGAAAGCUGCCCUGAGCUUGUUCAGUUUUUUAUUUCCAAGUUCCUCUGGGCUCCUGAAACACCUUUUGGUACCUGAAAUGCCACACUGAUUACAGCUACCAUCCCCUUAGGUUACAUCCUUGAUCCUGAAAUAAAAAUCCCAUGGGACUGACAGACUGCUCUAAGAAAGAGGUCCCCUUCUCACUUGCUCUUCAAAAGUAACCAAGAUAAACUAACCUGCACAGCCACAUCUACAGAACAUUCAGUCAGAUUUAAAGUCUCAGUUUCCAUCAAACCCUUCUCCAAUUCCCAGAGCUGUUGUAAUCCAGAUGGGUCUGGCAUUGCCAUAAGCUCACACCUUCCAGGACAGGUAUCAGCUCUCUGCUUCUACAGCAUCUAAGACAACUCUAUCCAAGUUCCUGACUAAGGCUUAACAGCAAAUGUACUGAAAGCAGUAAGCAAUUAUGUUUAGAAUUCCUGUUUUCACCCUAGAUUCCCAGAGGAAACACCAAAUUUGGAUGAUCACCCUGCCGAAUCACAUAGUUGUCAAUACAAAUUUCUCCUAGUAUAUACAGAGCAUUUGGACUGAGCACUGACACAAAUUCAGCUUUGCUAGAGGUGACAAAUGACUACAAAAUCCUUACGUCCAACCUGCCCAUUCCUAUUUUAACCUCCUGAUGUCUUUUGUCACGGACAAUCGAAAAGACUGCCGUGGUGUGUUUUAGGGGGCAAGCACGAGCCGCUGAGCAGAGCAGCUGAGGCAGGAGCGCCGGAGCGCAGAGGCGCGGCCGGGCAGGAGGGAAGCCGAGGGAUGCAGCGGCCCCGCACACCGCGCAGCAGAGCGGCAGUGGCGCCCGCUGGCCGCUCGCAGCAUUGCCAGCGCAUCCUUCCUCCGCCCGGCCCUCGCCUCGGGGAAACGGCCGGCACUGGCAGCCUCGAAGAUUCACCCGCACCAAAUGCCUCAGCCGAGGAGCACACAGGGGUAGCACGGCACAAGAAGCCCAGGGGAUCUGCGGGCACAGCUCAUCGCGCGGGGAUGCCGGUAGGACCACACAAUCCAGGUCAAAAAGAUCGUGUCACAUCCUUAACUUCUCUUUGCAUUUCUACCCUGCCCAGCUUCCACCCUCUGCAAAUAGAAAUCCAAAGGGUAACUAAUAACCUCCUCAGCAGGAAUAGAAGUCAUCUCAGAUAAGAUACCUGUGCAGCCAUCCGGGGAUAUCAACACAGUGAAACAUAUCCUCUGCACCUGUUAAUGAACAGCCAUUCAUACUUCAGAGCAGUUGAGAAAGCUUCAUCAGAAACCUGUACUUCAAUUACGACCUCAGCAUUAAUGAAGAAAGCACAGAGGUGUGCAGUCAUGUCUCACCACAUGGAAAUGUGACCCAAGCACACUGAAUCAAGAAUAAAAAGCAAUAUAAAGAACCAUGCUGCCCUGCCCAUGAGGAAGCAGAGGGGCAGGGGCUGAUCUCUCUGCUGAUCAGUAACAGGACCCAAAGGAACGUCAUUAAGUUGUGACAGGGGAGGUUUAAGCUGGAUUUUAGGAAAAGGUUCUUCAUCCAGAGAGUGGAUGGGCACUGCAACUGGCUUCCCAGGGAAGUGGUUAGACCACAAAGCCAGUUAGGAUAUGAGGAUAUGCAGAUUCACAUGAAUGACACCAGAUACCUGAAUACAAUGAUUGAUUUUAGUUUGAAGCCCCGAAUUAAAAGGAAAAAUGAAAAGUUUGGUAAACAAGUUCAGUGUCCCUGCAGUCAAACUUGUGAGCCACAGACUUUUUGCAACUUGGGAAGAAGUUCCUACUUAGGUCCAACUUUGAAUUAAUCUUCUGAAGAUGUCAGGGUCAUUAAUGAAUCAUUAUUGCUACUUAUCACUACCCAAAUCCAUGUAAAGCUUAAUUUGGAGUAAAAAUAAGCAACCCCUCUGCUACUUCCUUGCUAUUUUUUCUCCAGCAGAAAAAUUUGUUUAUAAAUUUUGUUAAUAACCGAAGUUAUUAACAAGACUUUUGUUUCCUGACCUGGAUUGUUUAGGGAUGGGAGAUGCAGUCACCAGAAAAUCCCCAGACAAAACCAAAUUGGAACUCAUGAGUCAGACCAUAAAAGAUGUUCUAGCAUCUUGACAGUUUAAAUGGAUUAUUUGGAGGCAAUUAUUAACUUAAACAGCAGCUUUUUCACCAAGACUGAAUGUCCAAAGGAUAGGGUCAACGUGAAAAUUUAUUGUUGCAACUCAGUGUGGGUUAGGUGACUCAAACAUCCGGACACAAGAGCCUGCUACCAGAACAGGGAGCAAAGCCUUCAGGUGGACUAACCCUGAGAUCUGCACACACCAGAACACUCCACGGGCUGUGGUACACAGUUUUCUGUGGCUGGUGCUGAAGGAUUAGCAGCACCAGCCAGCAGCAGAGCACAAGUUGCUUUUACCAUUCCGGUCAAAAUGCUCUUUUUCUCUCCAUCUUGCAGCACAUGGCCCAGUCCCUUGAGGAAAUGGGAAAAGGCAGAGACGUUUUAUGUGUUCUCUCUUCCCCCCCCUUCCAUCUACCCAUUCCUCCACUUGUGGAGCUCUACUCUAUUCCUCGAGGCACAGAUGUGAAGGACAUUCCAAGAUGAGCCAAGCUUCUUCAAGUUAUUUAAGCUUUCCUCAGAUUCACCUCAGUGUAUUCAAGCAAUGAAAUGUGCAAUUAACUAGAAAGGGAAGUGGUUUUUAAUAGCUUCACCAGUAACCAGGGCCACUCUAACUACUGGGAAGCACUUCUAGUGUCUCCAUAGUUACACCUAUAAAUACAGAACAGUGCACUGGGUUUGCAUGGCAAGGUUUGGCAGUGGGAGGGCUACAGGGGCAGCCUCUGGGAGAAGCUGCCAGAAGCUUCCCUGUGUCUGACAAAACCAAUGUCAGCCCAGUCCAGCACGGACCCACCACUCACCAAGGAGGAGCCCACUGGAAUGAUGGUAGUGUCUGCGGUAACAGAUUAAAGGAGAAAAAAACCCAAACAGCAAUUGCAGCCAGAGAGGGGAGUGAGUAUGAGAGGAACAGGUCUGCAGGUACCCAGGCCACUGCAGCAGAAACAGGAGAUGCUCCAGGCACCUUUGAGAGACUGAAAUUUUAAGGGUUAAUGACACAAUCAUCCUUUUCAAAAGCAGCUGGUGAAAUGCAUGACUUUAAACCAACUUUUGUUUAGGAACAAACUGGUUUUGAGCCAGAUGAGGGAGAAGACCAUUAAGAAGCAGAUCCUUCGAGAUGGGAAAAUGCUUUUUAUCACACCAAUGUCCUCCCUUACACCACUGGCUGAGAUGUAAAACUCCUCCUCCUCCCUUUCCCCCCUCCCCUGGAAGGUAUUGGGACAUUGAUAUGCACAGGUAGGCGUGACAGCAUUCACGCCUGGCUCAGCUAGGAUGAGGUGAGGCAGCUGUCAUGGCUUGGUCAUAAACCAUCAAAGACCCCCAAAGUUACACCCGACAGUGGAAACCCCACCCCCUUCAGGGGAGGAACCUGGGCAUUCCCACCACGCUGAAGAUACUAACCCAGGGAACUUGGUGUUUCAGGGGCUCUUCCACCUCCCACAGAUCAAGACUGUGACCACCACCUCAACUAAAGGACACUGAAGUCACCCACAAUCAAGUCUUGUCACUGGAUCCAUGGGUGGUGGUAUUUGUCAUGUUUUCCUCUUUUUUUUUUCCUGAUUUGCUUAUAUAUGUAUGUUUUAUACUUUUAUGUUGCUAUUUCUGUAGCUAACCAAAACAGCUACACAGCUCCUUUCCACUGCAACCAAAUUAUUCUAAAAUGAAUCUGCCAUCCCAGACCUACAGCCCAUGGAGAGCUCCAUGCUGGAGCAGGGCUGUUUAAAGAAG